GGGCAUGUGGUGUAGUUGGUUAUCACGCUCGCUUAGCAUGUUUAGCAUCUGCUUGCGAGAGGGGUCCGGUUCAAUCCCGGACAUGUCCA
rnacentral:tRNA from 1 species